AGGAAAAGGAAAAGAAAGAGAGAGAGUGAGAGAAACGGGGGGGGCACAACAGCUUAUGCUAACCUGACAUGAACCUGUUCUCCCUGCAGGCUCCCGUUCUCCACUCAUCUGCUGCUGCUAAUUAAUACCACUGGGGAGGAGGAGGAGAGAAGACAGAGGGAUGGGAGGAAUUUCUCGUCUCCUUCUCUCGGUAUACCAUUACAGCCUAGUCCACCUCUGCCUCACCUCGAUCUCUGCUGAAGAAGAAAUGCUCGAGCAGGUUUUGGCUUCUCUGCUUAGCGGGUCACUGGCUGCUUGUGGCCGUCCAUCAAGGAAAUAUGUGGCAGUCGGGAGAUGAAAAAAGGCAAGGAGGACUGCCACCAGCUACCACACUACGCGUCUCUUUUGUCCUGUCUCCCUCUCACCCCUAACCUGUCACGGCAGAUGGCUGAGCUCGUUAGGGAGAAAACUUUGGUGCGUCGACGUCCGCGAGCUCUUCCAGGAAUGGUGAUGAUGCUUUCCAGGAAAAGUCGAGAGGCACUGAGUUAGUAUGUGUUGAUCGCAAACUUAAUCAGCUCCAGAGCAGGUAAGGUAUUCAGCAGAAGUUACCGUGGCGACGCAACAAGGUAAAUGAACCACCUUUCCAACAUCGAAAACCCAAACUUACCUCAUCAAACCCCUAGCAAGGUUCGUCCUGGUUCGUUUAACUUCAAGUGAAUGAAUUCCCCUAACUUUUAUUUACUUCUCAAUAUGUUUUACUCUUUACUUUCUUCAUUUUAUCAGCCUUUUCAUCACUGUAUGGUAAUUUUUCU